GUAGGUGAACCUGCGGAAGGAUCAUUCUAGAUAUUUUAGCAUAAGCUAUUAUAUAAUGUGAACUGUUUUAGCCAUUUGGCGAUGUCAAAGUCGUCUUGUGGCGCCCUAUUAUUAUUUACCCUAUUAAUUUUUUAUACAAGUAAUCAUAAUUUUAUGACAACUUUUAGCAAUGGAUCUCUAGGCUCUC
rnacentral:misc_RNA from 1 species